AUUGAACGCUGGCGGCAUGAUUUACACAUGCAAGUCGAACGGUAACAGGCCGCAAGGUGCUGACGAGUGGCGAACGGGUGAGUAAUGCAUCGGAACGUGCCCAGUCGUGGGGGAUAACUACUCGAAAGAGUAGCUAAUACCGCAUACGAUCUAUGGAUGAAAGCGGGGGACCGUAAGGCCUCGCGCGAUUGGAGCGGCCGAUGUCAGAUUAGGUAGUUGGUGGGGUAAAGGCUCACCAAGCCAACGAUCUGUAGCUGGUCUGAGAGGACGACCAGCCACACUGGGACUGAGACACGGCCCAGACUCCUACGGGAGGCAGCAGUGGGGAAUUUUGGACAAUGGGCGCAGGCCUGAUCCAGCAAUGCCGCGUGCAGGAAGAAGGCCUUCGGGUUGUAAACUGCUUUUGUACGGAACGAAACGGCUCUGGUUAAUACCCGGGGCUAAUGACGGUACCGUAAGAAUAAGCACCGGCUAACUACGUG
rnacentral:rRNA from 1 species